GAUGAACGCUGGCGGCGUGCCUAAUACAUGCAAGUCGAGCGAACAGACGCUGAGCUUGCUCCGCUGACGUUAGCGGCGGACGGGUGAGUCACACGUGUAUAACCUCCCUAUAAGACUGGUAUAACUUCGGGAAACCGGCUCUAAUACCGGAUGAUAUAUUGCACCGCAUUGUUCAAUGGUAAAAGACGGUUUUGCUGUCACGUAUAGCUGGAUCCGCGCCGCAUUGGAUAGUUGGUAAGGUAACAGGUUACCAAGGCAACGAUGCGUAGCCGAGGUGAGAGGGUGGUCGGCCACCUGGGAGCGGAGACACGGACAAUAGUACUACGGUAGGCAGCAGUAUCGAAUCGUACGCAACGGUCGAAAGUUUGACGCAGUAACCGCGAGUGAGUGACGAAGGUCUUGGGAUCGGAAAACCCUGUUAUUAGGGAAGAACAAAUGUGUAAGGAACCAUGCACGGCGUGACGGUAACGAAUCAGAAAGCAACGGCUAACUACGUG
rnacentral:rRNA from 1 species